CAAAACAUGGCUUAUUGAAAAUAAUUUUAAGUCAAUCUGCUCAAUGAUUUUAAUUAAAUGGCUGCAGUAUAACUAACUGUACAAAGGUAGCAUAAUCAAUUGUUUUUUAAUUGAAAACUGGAAUGAAAGAAUUAAUGAGAUAUAUACUGUCUCAUAUAUAUUUAAUGAAUUUAAAUUUUUAGUAAAAAUGCUUAAAUAAUUUUAUGGGACGAUAAGACCCUAUAGAAUUUUAUAUUAAUAUUUUAUUAAUUAUUUAAUAAAAAUAUUAAUAUUUAAUUGGGAGGAUUAAUAAAUUUAAAAAACUUUAUUUUAAAUAUAAACUUUGAUUUUAGAAUUAAUUUUUGAUCUUUUAUUAUAAAUCAAAAGAAUAAAUUACCUUAGGGAUAACAGCGUAAUAUCUUUUUAAAGAUCAUAUUUAAAAAGAUGUUUGCGACCUCGAUGUUGAAUUAAGAUAAAUUUUAAAUGGAGAAGUUUAAUAAUUAAGUCUGUUCGACUUUUAAAAUCUUACAUGAUUUGAGUUCAAAUCGACGUAAGU
rnacentral:rRNA from 1 species